GAGCCCGUGGUCUAGUGGUUAUGACGAUGCGCUUACACCGCAUAGGUCGGGAGUUCGAUAUCUGUUUUCAUUUGGGAGCA
rnacentral:tRNA from 1 species